GAUGAACGCUGGCGGCGUGCCUAAUACAUGCAAGUCGAGCGAACGGACGAGAAGCUUGCUUCUCUGAUGUUAGCGGCGGACAGGUGAGUAACACGUGGAUAACCUACCUAUAAGACUGGGAUAACUUCGGGAAACCGGAGCUAAUACCGGAUGAUAUUUUGAACCGCAUGGUUCAAAAGUGAAAGACGGUCUUGCUGUCACUUAUAGAUGGAUCCGCGCUGCAUUAGCUAGUUGGUAAGGUAACGGCUUACCAAGGCAACGAUGCAUAGCCGACCUGAGAGGGUGAUCGGCCACACUGGAACUGAGACACGGUCCAGACUCCUACGGGAGGCAGCAGUAGGGAAUCUUCCGCAAUGGGCGAAAGCCUGACGGAGCAACGCCGCGUGAGUGAUGAAGGUCUUCGGAUCGUAAAACUCUGUUAUUAGGGAAGAACAUAUGUGUAAGUAACUGUGCACAUCUUGACGGUACCUAAUCAGAAAGCCACGGCUAACUACGUG
rnacentral:rRNA from 1 species